UACGUAGGGGGCAAGCGUUGUCCGGAUUUAUUGGGCGUAAAGCGCGUGUAGGCGGUUCGGUAAGUCCGCUGUGAAAGUCGAGGGCUCAACCCUCGAAAGCCGGUGGAUACUGUCGGGCUAGAGUGCGGAAGAGGCGAGUGGAAUUCCUGGUGUAGCGGUGAAAUGCGCAGAUAUCAGGAGGAACACCGGUGGCGAAGGCGGGUCUCUGGGCCGAUACUGACGCUGAGGAGCGAAAGCGUGGGGAGCGAACAGG
rnacentral:rRNA from 1 species